UCCUCAUGGCCUUUAUGUCCAGGGCUACACACGUGCUACAAUGGGUGGUACAAAGAGCCGCGAACUCGCGAGAGCAAGCAAAUCUCAAAAACCAUCCUCAGUUCGGAUUGGAGUCUGCAACUCGACUCCAUGAAGCUGGAAUCGCUAGUAAUCGCGGAUCAGCAUGCCGCGGUGAAUACGUUCCCGGGCCUU
rnacentral:rRNA from 1 species